UCACCUCCCCUCCACACAGGAACACAGGUCUGGGGAACAGAAGAGGGGCUGUCAGGGGUGCGGGCAGCAGCAGAGAUGACAGGAGGAAGAGGUAGCCUUUGGAGUCCUGAGAAGUCUCCAUCCCUUCCCCCGCCUGCUCCACCACCCCACGGCAGGUCCUGGAGAAACUGCAGGAGACCCCGGGCAAACCACGGCUCUAGGUCGCACCUGUGAGGAGCAGCAGCGCCCGGUGGGUCUCCUGCCCUACCAGCACGAUCUGUUUGAAGCUCAUGGAGUGGUGGAAGGUCAUCUUGAAGACUCGCUGCCCGCUGGACUGCAGAUAGACCUCAACACAGUCACAGGCCCGGUUGCCGGUUGCACCAACCACUCCCGUCUGCUCUCGAGUGGCCAGGACGUAGAGCCCAGGGCAGAUGCUGCUUCUCCGUGAGCACUUCCUGGCAUCGCCAACCUUGCAUCAGAGGCAUCAAGGGGAACAUGGGAAUAAAAACACAGAAGAGAGGCAGAAAGAAGAGUGAAAGCGAAUGGCUGAGGAGGACCAGUAACCUCCCUCACCCCCAGCUCUGGAUCUGCUUUCUGGACCAAUCUCCUAAUCUAUGUGAAAGGAAGCCGUGGGACCGGGGUGCCCUUGGAGAGGCACAGAUGCAGCCUGGUUGCCCAGCUGGGGGUGAUCUUGUCCCUCAGGGGACGUGGUUUGUCACAACUAGGGGAGGUGUUGCUGGCAUCCAGUGGGUAGGGGCCAAAGGUACUGCUAAACACCCUCAAAUGCACAGGACAGCAAAGGAGGGAUUUGUCCAAAAUGCUGGUGGUGACAAGGCCGAGAACCCCCGGUUUAGAGGAGGGAGCAAGCUCAGGUUUGGGGAGCUGGGGAUGCCUCUAAGGUAAGAUCUGGAGUGAGACCUGGCAGGGAUGCUACUGAGGGGAGGUGGGAGAGUCUGUGUGUGGGGUGGCUCUAGGGUCCUGGAGGAAGUAGUCAAGGGAGUCUGUCUGAAUCUGACAGGUUCCUUCCAGAGGAAAGGGAGAGAGGGAAGGUUGGCUGGGACGCAGCCAUAGAGAGCAGGAGGGACCCCACUGCAUGGACAGACGGAGGCGAGGAGAAGAGGCUCUGGGGGAGAUGUACAGUUAAGAAUGGCGGCUCUCUUCCAGGGCCGGACCCCGGACCCCUGCUCUCGGAGGCGGGGACUGAGCUUGCGACAGAUACGUCUCCACACGCC